GGGUUGGUAGCUCAGUUGGUAGAGCAGCGGCCUUUUAAGCCGUUGGUCCGGGGUUCGAGCCCCCGCCAGCCUACCA
rnacentral:tRNA from 1 species